rnacentral:rRNA from 1 species
GGAGACUCUUUUUACCCGGACGGCCCCUUCCUGCCAUUUGGGGGGAGGCGUUUGAAAAGGGGUUCCCCCUCCCGUUUUACGAACGCCUCGUAGUCUCGCGCGUGUCAGUGAAAUAAAAAUCGAAACACAACUUUCAACAACGGAUCUCUUGGCUUUCGCAUCGAUGAAGAACGCCGCGAACGCGCGAAACGUAAUGUGAAUUGCAGAAUUCAGUGAAUCAUCGAAUCUUUGAACGCACCUUGCGCUCCUCGGUAUUCCGAGGAGCAUGCCUGUUUGAGUGUCGUGAAGUCUCAUCGAAAGGGGGAGACCCCUUUCGGACUUGGACGGUCUUGCCCUCGCCCCCUGCGGUCGAAGGCUCGUCUUCAAAUUCAUCGGCGAGGUUACGUCCCCUCACACGCCCCCCUCUAGACGUGAUAAGUCUUGCGUCGUCCGGGUUGGGAAAGGGAGGGGAUCCGUCCGCCAUUCCGUUCCGUCAUUCAAACGCCUGACCUCAAAUCAGGCAGGAUACCCCCUUA